GACGAACGCUGGAGGCGUGCUUAACACAUGCAAGUCGAACGAUGAAAUGGAGCUUGCUCCAGGGAUUAGUGGCGAACGGGUGAGUAACACGUGAAUAACCUGCCCUUAAUUUUGGAAUAACCCAGGGAAACCUGGGCUAAUACCGGAUAAGUAAACCUGUGGCAUCACAUGGUUUUGGAAAGUGUUUCGAUUAAGGAUGGAUUCGCGGCCUAUCAGCUUGUUGGUGAGGUAAUGGCUCACCAAGGCGACGACGGGUAGCCGGCCUGAGAGGGUGAACGGCCACACUGGGACUGAGACACGGCCCAGACUCCUACGGGAGGCAGCAGUGGGGAAUAUUGCGCAAUGGACGAAAGUCUGACGCAGCGACGCCUCGUGAGGGACGAAGGUCUUCGGAUUGUAAACCUCUUUCAGCAGGGACGAAGCGAAAGUGACGGUACCUGCAGAAGAAGCACCGGCUAACUAUGUGCCAGCCGCCGCAGUAC
rnacentral:rRNA from 1 species